UGAGAUGGGGGUUUUUAGGGAGAUGGCGGUUGGGCGGUGGCCGAGCCACGGCGGCGGAGAGAGGCUGGGGUGGCGGCCGGCGAUGGAGAAGAAGUACAGCAGCAGCAGCGCCAGAUCUGGGAUGGUGGGAGGCGGCCUGACCAACCGCUGCUCUCUGUCUCGGGGCAGCGAGGGUGGCCACGCUGUCGGCUGAAGAGGGAGAAGGUGAGGGCGGUGUCGGGUAGGAACAGGAGGCGGCCGCGGCUGGGCGAGGUUGUGGAGGAGAACAGAGGAGAACGACAGAGAGGAGAGGGUCGAAGGGGACGAGAGAUGAGGGAAGAAGGGGGAAGGGAGAGGAGGCAGGGCCGCCGGCUCCGGCGGCGGCUGGUGGCGGCGGCAGGAAGAAGACCGAGGAAGGGAGAGAGGGGGAGGAGAGAGCUGCUGUGAGGGAGUGUUGGCUGCGUGAGUGGUGUUUGGAGUUGUGUGGGUGUGAGUUUAAAUUAGGGAAUUGUUAAGUGGGCUAAUGGGUUUGGGUUUAUUAAAAAUGAUUGGGCUCAGAUUUUAAUCAUCUUAUGGGCUAAAGUUUUAUUAAAUAAUUGGAUUUCAUUUAUAUUACUUAUGGGCUUGAAUAAAUAGCCAAUUAAUUAUAAUAGCAAUGAUUUUCAUAUGAG
rnacentral:lncRNA from 1 species